rnacentral:rRNA from 1 species
AUUGAACGCUGGCGGCAGGCCUAACACAUGCAAGUCGAGCGGAGCGGCGGACGGGUGAGUAAUGCCUAGGAAGAUGCCUGGUAGAGGGGGAUAACGGCCGGAAACGGGCGCUAAUACCGCAUACUAUCAGAUGAGUCUGGGUCGGAUUAGCUAGUUGGUGGGGUAAAGGCCAUCCAAGUCGACGAUCAGUAACUGGUCUGAGAGGAUGAACAGUCACACUGGAACUGAUACACGGUCCAGACUCCUACGUGAGGCAGCAUUGGGUAAUAUUGGACAAUGGGCGAAAGCCUGAUUCAGCCAUGCCGCGUGUGUGAAGAAGGUCUUCGGAUUGUAAAGCACUUUAAGUUGGGAGGCGUUACCAACAGAAUAAGCACCGGCUAACUUCGUGCCAGCAGCCGCGGUAAUAC